CUCUAACCCAACUGUAACUAGGUUAGCAACAUUUUUCCCUUCCACUGUCCUCUUUUGAUUUAGUUGAUGUGACAUUCCCUAUUUCUUAAAUCAUUGCAUAAUGCUACAACAUGUUGUUAAAGGCUUUCUUUUUUUCUAGAUAAUGAUGUGUAAAGGAAGGAUGUAGACAUUUUUCAUAGGAACAAUUCACAUGAAAUUAAUUUGUACAUAAUCUGAAAUAUAAAGAUACAAUAGAAAAAAAGAAUAAACAAAAGCUGCAGGAUGGAAGGUCACAUUUGGAGAAGACAGCAGAAGCCCUGAGUCAUGAAGAAAGAUUUAUAAGUCCAUAAAAAAGAAAGCUGGGAGAAUCUGUAAGACAUGUAAGUCAUUAGAGAUAACUGCUGCAGAUACUGAAGAUGGUGCAGAGACAAACACGCUUCAGCAAAGCAGGCUGUUUAAACAGUCAGAGAACUGAGCUGUGAAAUGAAGAAGCACAUUUUUAAAGAAAGAAAUGAAAGACCUGGGACAAAGACCACGGCUGAUUGUAAACUUACAGGUUAAAUCCCUGUGAGACUUGAAGUAAUUCUGAUGUCUUCAUAUGGGAUCACUUGAUUUAUAUCUUAUGUUUUCCAGAGACAGAGAGGAAUAAAGGAGAUGAAGAGAUGUGGAGAAAAAAACUGAAUGUGAACCAAAGGAACGAUAUCUGGGAAAGCUUUCUCGUGCAAGGAGCAUAAACAUUCACUGGCUUGUUUCAGUCAAUGUGAAUGCCAGGAGCAGAAUGGAGAAAUCCUGGUUCCCACCUCUGAGGCAGAAGAACAUAUUCAUCUGCACUUUUCACUUGGCUGUUUUGGAUUCUCUGAACUUCUGAGCUGAAAAAGGUAAUUUUCUAGCUACUAAUGACUAAAUCUAAUGACUGCUCUGUGAAGAAAUGUGUGUACUUUUUGCUUUCCUGAAUUUAUGUAUUCCUAAGUGGAAGAAAAUAGCUUGUACUUUACGCUUCUAAAGCAAAUGGAAGGUCAUUAAUGGCCUUCUGCUUUUUACUACUGAUGAUUAUUGAACGAGUG
rnacentral:lncRNA from 1 species